AUUGAACGCUGGCGGCAGGCCUAACACAUGCAAGUCGAGCGGAUGAAGGGAGCUUGCUCCUGGAUUCAGCGGCGGACGGGUGAGUAAUGCCUAGGAAUCUGCCUGGUAGUGGGGGAUAACGUCCGGAAACGGGCGCUAAUACCGCAUACGUACUGAGGGCGCAAGUGGGGGAUCUUCGGACCUCACGCUAUCAGAUGAGCCUAGGUCGGCUUAGCUAGUUGGUGGGGUAAAGGCCUACCAAGGCGACGAUCCGUAACUGGUCUGAGAGGAUGAUCAGUCACACUGGAACUGAGACACGGUCCAGACUCCGACGGGAGGCAGCAGUGGGGAAUAUUGGAGAAGGGGCGAAAGCCUGAUCCAGCCAUGCCGCGUGUGUGAAGAAGGUCUUCGGAUUGUAAAGUACUUUAAGUUGGGAGGAAGGGCAGUAAGUUAAUACCUUGCUGUUUUGACGUUACCAACAGAAUAAGCACCGGCUAACUUCGUG
rnacentral:rRNA from 1 species